CUCCGCCGCCCUCAUGGUUGAACCCUGGCGGAGACAGCUGAGGGCGGGGACUGAAGAAAGGCACUCGGGAAAGGGGGUCGAUGCUCCAGCAUAGGCAGCGUGUGCACUCGCUCCUCUCGGGGCGUCGGUGCCACGUCCUCUGUCGUUUCACCUGUUUGAGUCCCGGAAUCCUUGGGACCUAUAUUAGUUUUCUUCGGAAUAUUUGUCAUCCUGAAUUUUCCACUUCUGGCCGACCACAGAAGCGCUCUUGGAAUGCAUCUCUUCCCAAUGAAGUGGGGCUGCCCAGUCAGUCUGUCAAAGGCAGGGCUCGAGCUGGGAGCCUUUGAGGAAGGACUUUUCAUCCUUUCUCUUGGUUUUGGCAGAGGACUAGGCGCGCUAAGGGGUGGGGAAGAGCCCGACUUCGCCUGGAAAGUGGCGCUCCCCCUUCACGUGACCUCGAGGGGUUCAUCCCCAUUCCCUUGGAACUAGGCCAGUUUAACUCUGAAAAUAUUACUCGUUCAAACAAAGGAACAACAAAAAGAACACCUGUUCCCACCCCUUCGCCCCCAUUGUGGUGUCAAGAAAGAAAGAAAAAAAUUCUGGCUUGGAAAGCUAGGAUUGAGCAUUACUUUGUAAAGUGAGCCACUUUAAGGCCAAGGUCUCAAACCCUCGAUGAACUUAGAUGAGGAUGUAAACACAUAAAGUCAGUCAGGGCCCUAAACUCUUUCAGCUCGGUGGUUUUUAUUUACCUAGGACAGUAGUCCCUCCCCCCUCUUGACCAUCUAACCAGUAACCACCACAAUGAAAAAAGAUUUCACAGAUGAAUUGGAGAGCCACUAUUAUUAUGUCAUAUAAUCAAGGCAAGAUUCUGAAACGCAACUGAAAAAGAUGAAGUUUCCCAACAGCCUUCUGGAGGAUAAAAGCCAGCAGGCAACACACGGGUUCUUCUUGCGAUUGCAUCAUAAGAGGAAAUCUGUAUAUUCAUCCCAGAUUUCUAAAAGAGCUAUGAAGUUCCAGCUCACAACUCAUCCCUUUCAAGGCAGGUGCCGGGUGUGACAACAGGGUUAUGACCCUCCCUCUCAUCAGAACAGGACACGGAUUGGCUGUGAACUUGUCAUGCAGUUGAGGAUGGCCUUAAACAACUGGCUCUUCUGCCUCCACCUUCUGAGAGCUAGGCUUUACCGCAGGCUCAUCUCUGACCUUUGGCUCUUUCUCAGAUGUUUGAAAGCCAAUGUUCCAGUUCCUGUGGAAAAGCUGCUGAAGUUUUGUUUCCCUUUCCCUUCCUCUCCCUCCCCCCCGCAACAACAAAACCCAUGAAACAAAACAAC
rnacentral:lncRNA from 1 species